AAUCAAAAAUCUAUAUCAUUUUGCGUACUGCACAGUGGCCCUAAUUAAUUAAAGUCAGGUCAAUGCCUCUUGCCAUACUUUAGGGUAAAGCCUGACCAGAUCUUAUAUAUAACCAAAUGACGAGAUGGACGCGGUAUCAAGCUCACCAAUUCCGAGAAUGGAGGAAGGCCAAACCAUCGUGAGGUACGUGCAUGGUGUACUAUUCAUCCUUGGUUCUUUUUUUCUUUUUUCUCUCUGUUCACAAUCUCGAUGCGAGUUAAUUUGCCUCUUCUGUAAAGCUAUGGAAAGAUUAACUACACCAUCAAAAGGUUUCUCCAUCAAUUACUGUGCGUUCGUGCAUUGCUUCAAUUAUCCUUGAUGCGUGCCUACCAUGUGAAUGAGCGCCCACCGCCCAUGAGCGACGACAUCAGUUUAAUUUGCAUCGAGGACAGAAAAUGAUAUGGUACUGUAGUAUCAAGAAUGAAGAUGGCGCAGAGUUUGAGUUCCACUUAUCAAAGGAUACUCUAUAACCCUAGUUUGCAGAUACAUGAAAGAGACCAUGUAGUAAUUGAUUUAAUGUACUAUGUUCCUCAGUGGAUUUUAUACAGUAACCAAGGUUUAGUGCAUGAUCAGGCAAUAUAGAAUGCAUUAGUCUAGACUCCAGAUUAUAAUAUCUUACUAGCUAGUAAACAAACAUGGAAAUAUAAAUGGUA
rnacentral:lncRNA from 1 species